CCUACGGGUGGCAGCAGUGAGGAAUAUUGGUCAAUGGGCGCGAGCCUGAACCAGCCAAGUCGCGUGAGGGAAGACGGUCCUAUGGAUUGUACACCUCUUUUGUCGGGGAGAAAAAGACGCCACGCGUGGCGUUCCGAGAGUACCCGAAGAAACAGCAUCGGCUAACUCCGUGCCAGCAGCCGCGGUAAUAAGGAGGAUGCGAGCGUUAUCCGGAUUUAUUGGGUUUAAAGGGUGCGUAGGCGGUUCGAUAAGUUAGAGGUGAAAUCCCGGGGCUCAACUCCGGCACUGCCUCUGAUACUGUCGGGCUAGAGUUUAGUUGCGGUAGGCGGAAUGUAUGGUGUAGCGGUGAAAUGCAUAGAGAUCAUACAGAACACCGAUUGCGAAGGCGGGUUCCUGGACAUUAACUGACGCUGAGGCACGAAGGCCAGGGGAGCGAAAGGGAUUAGAUACCCCGGUAGUC
rnacentral:rRNA from 1 species